UGACAUCAUAAAAGGUCCUUUAGCCCACCAGUCUCUGGUCUCCAGUGGAGGUUCCUACAAUAUAGGAUCUACUCAGUGGAUAUCUUCUAUAUAAGAUCCUUCUUCUGACUGACCCGUCAAGGAAGAAUAGGGACAGGGACAAGAUGGCGGAGAGUAUAAUAAAUCUCACCCUAGAGAUCCUCUUUCAGCUUACUGGAGAGGACUACACAGUAGUGAAGAAGACCUCUAGUGAGCGCUGUCAGGACCCU